rnacentral:rRNA from 1 species
UGGGGAAUAUUGGGCAAUGGGCGAAAGCCUGACCCAGCAACGCCGCGUGAAGGAUGAAGUAUUUCGGUAUGUAAACUUCGAAAGAAUAGGAAGAAUAAAUGACGGUACUAUUUAUAAGGUCCGGCUAACUACGUGCCAGCAGCCGCGGUAAUACGUAGGGACCAAGCGUUGUUCGGAUUUAUUGGGUUUAAAGGGUGCGUAGGUGGCCCUGUAAGUCAGUGGUGAAAUAUCUCAGCUUAACUGAGAGGGUGCCAUUGAUACUGCAGGGCUUGAGUACAGAUGAGGUAGGCGGAAUUGACGGUGUAGCGGUGAAAUGCAUAGAUAUCGUCAAGAACACCGAUAGCGAAGGCAGCUUACCAAGCUGUAACUGACACUGAGGCACGAAAGUGUGGGGAUCAAACAGGAUUAGAUACCCCAGUAGUCCCUGAGCGGGCUGGCAAGGCGCAU